GAUGAUGGCUCUGAUUGAACGCUAUCCUAGUGCUUGACACAUGCUAAUCGAACGUCUAAUUUCAUUAGAAAUAAUUUAGUUAGAAGUGGUGUACAGGUGAGUAAAUGAUAUUAUGGCUACCUUGGAGUAAGGGACAUUAAAAUCCCUUAUAUAUCAAACUAUGCUUUGUAUUAAAAGAAAUUUAUUUUCGCUCCUAGAUGGAAAUUAAUAUCUCGGACAGGUAGUAGUUAAGGUAAUGGCUUAACUAGCUUAUGUCCGUAGUCGAGACUGAGAGGUCGAUCGAUCACAUUGGGUCUGAAAAAACCCCAAUACGUAUAGUACAGCAGUGAGGAAUAUUGGUCAAUGGCCUAACGGCUGAACCAGCAACUUGGGGGAAUGGAUAUAUAUAUUAGAGAUAAUAUAUAGUACCGACUUUGUCGGAUAAAGUUCUAGAUAGAAUAAUGAUAAUGACAAUUUUCUAUCUAUAUGUCUUGACCAAAUCUUGUGCCAGCAGUCGCGGCAACACAAGGGAGACUAGUGUUAUUCAUCUUUAUUAGGUUUAAAGGGUACCUAGACGGUAUAUCAUGCCCCAAAAGGGAACGGAUAUACCAGAGUUUUAUGUGAGAGGCAAAUAUAGUACUAUUGGUGUAGAGAUAAAAUUCAUUGAUACCUCUAGGCACGGGUAACGGCGAAGGCAAUCCUCUAUGUAAAAACUGACGUUGAGGGACGAAGGCUCGGGUAGCGAAUAGGAUUAGAUACCCUAGUAGUCCGGGCAGACAAUUAUGAAUGUCAUAGAUUAGAAAUAUUUGGUCUAUAAAUGAAAGUGUAAGCAUUCCACCUCAAGAGUAAGGCGGCAACGUUGGAACUGAAAUCAUUAGACCGUUUCUGAAACCAGUAGUGAAGUAUGUUAUUUAAUUCGAUGAUCCGC
rnacentral:rRNA from 1 species